GAGCCUCGGUGAGAGGUUCCCUGAACUUGGCGCCCAGAGGGAACUUAAGGUCGGAGGCCUCUCCCAGGCCUGGGCUGGUCCCGGCGCCCGGUAGCCCACUCAUUUUGCCCCUGGCCACCUCCAACCCCGCCUAGUCUUAAAUAGCCCUCCACCCGCUAGCCCUGAGUCCCGCCUCCAUGAAGCAGGGUCCAAUCCAGCCCCGGAGGGCGCCCUCUCUUGGGGACCUUCAACAGCCGGGAGAGAGCAAAGGCUUCGGGAGCGGGCGUCUCUGUGUUAGGCGUUUCCUCAGACGUCCUUGGCGGGGUCGCGGGCUCCGGAGGCUGCCAGGGCGGGGCGGAGGAGGGGGUGUGGAAAGGUGUAGGGACCAGAGACAGAAGCCAAAAGAUAGCGCAUUCUCAACACCCAACACCCACUUUUUACCACUCCUAAGCUUUUGAUUCCCACCUGCUCACUCCCGGCUCCCUUCGCAUCGGCCCUUUAGGAGGAGACAGCUGGCUGGGCCGCUGUGACCUGUCAUUCCCAGAGCCUCUGCAUCCCCCCUCCCCAAGAGGUGAAGAUGCCGCCCCUCCCCCCCCCACACACAACACACACAUACCUCUACCCCAGACCCAAAUCCUCACGGGGCACAGCUUGCCCCCAAGAAAGUGUAAGAGGCUCUGUGGGCAGAGAAGCGUCACAAACUGCUGAGCUGGGCCACAGCUACAUGUACAAUGUAGGUCCUCAAAAACUUAUAUUUGUGGUUAAAUUAAGUUCAAAAGGGGCAUGCACCCACCUCAUGUACCCCUGUGGUCCCUCAAGAGAUACAGAGGUUCUGAGCUCCAGAAUCCUAUUUUCCCCAUCCCCUCCUCCAUUUACAAGAAUGCUUGGCACCCCUCCCCAUCACCCUCUGGUCCCCAGUCCCUGACCCCAAAGCCCUGGGGGUGGGGUACAGGGAGGGUGGGUCUCCCCUCUUCAAUUCCUCCUAUUGUUCCCCAGAAGUCUUAUCUGGGUUGUACGUCCUGUCCCCCCCCUUAGAGGUCCCUCCCCCCAUUGUCGGCCAAAGGGACCUCAGGCCCACAGGGAGGCUCCUGCUCCUCCUCACCCUCCCACCCCAGCAGCCUAUUGUCUGCUGAGGAAGCCCAAGUACACGUGACCAAGCCCAGGGGACAAAUGGACACAGUGGACACACCGAUGCCCACAGACCCAGGAUAGGGCAUCUGGACAUGGAUCUCGGCGUGUUUGGCUUUCUCUGUCCCAGGGGCUGUCCCUAAGUAGGGAAGGGUGAAGGCCCCUGUGGGCUGUGCAUCUUGGGUCUGUGGCCUGAAGAAGAAUCCUUUCCUGCUCACGAUGGAUAUGCCUUAUGACCUCGCAGACCGCAAAAAGAAGGAGAUCCAAAGCUGAAAAGCGCCACAGCCCCCAGCCUCCUCUCCACCUUUCCAUUCUCCCUCAGCAGAACCUGGAGGCCUCAGAACGAAAGGUACUCGGGCAUUUAGUGCUUUAGAAUCUGGGUGUUGGGGGAAUGGUGGGAAGUCAGACCACACUGGACUUCCCAAUGGAGUCUAGAAUGGAGAGAUGGGAGAAAAAGGCUGGGGAAAGGGCAGGAUAUACAUCUAGGAACUAGGGUUUUCCAGUGGUCCCAAGUUCCAGGUCUAGACUGUGAGAUGCUGCAGCUGUCGGUCAGGUACAAAGACAGUGACAUCUUUUCUCUUACACCCUGUGUCCUCCUCUCACCAGACUGUCCACACGCCAGCUGGUUUCUCCAUUUCACUUCACCCCACCAACCCCUCCCAUAGCUCCCCUUCCCUCUGCCGAGACAGCAGCCUUAGUGAUAUCACAAAAGCUUUAUUUUCAGAAAACCGAAAGAAACAAAAUCAAAAUCAAAACCAAUCAUUUUUACCUGGCCCCUGCCCCAGCCCUCCCACCCACCCACACAUCCUCCUUUUGGGGGGGCACCUGUGAUGCAUGCAGAAGGGGUGGGAGCUGAAGGAACCUACAUUCCUUAAACAGAAAGAAGUCCUUUUGAGUCUAGGUAUCCUCGUCCAAGUCAACACCACUCCCAGCCUUGCCCCCUCUCCAGACACAUCAAGAAGGAAUUCUGAGGUGGUGCCAGAAGGUUUGCCCUGAAGUUCCUCGGGAAAUAGGGUGGCCAGGCCAGCACCACCCCAGGCCUUCACCAGUUACAGCUCAUCUUCAUCCAGCUUGGCAAGUCUGGCUUGGCAGGGAGGGGUAUUUGGGAUUGGUGGAGCUGGAGGAGAGUCACGAGGAGCUUGGGGGAAGUCACUGAGGGCCUGAGGAAAGACUCAAGUCAGAGGAUAAAAAAAGUUCCGGAAUCCACCCUCACUCCUGUCUUUUCAGUGCAUGCCCUAGCCAAGCCACCUCCUCUUGCCAGGCAUCUUAGAUGAUCCGAGACCAUCAGCCUCUCCCAGGGUUGAACUGGAGGAGGGACAGGUAAGAGUAGGGCAGUAGGAAGGGGCAGACAAAAGGCAGGUGGUGGUUAUAAGGAAAUAUGGGGGGAAGGGAAUUUAGGGAUCCCAGAACAAGAGGAGCCCUCCCCAUUCUAUAGCAGGGGCGCUCCAUUCCUCAUACCUGUGUGUCCAGGGGCAGGGGGGCUCUGGCCACCUCCCUUUUGGGCAACAGCAGCAGGGAGGGGAGAGAGCCGUUGAUGGGUGCUUGUGUGCUGACCUGGGCCUGGUCUCCAGGCCGGAUUCUCCCAGGACUCCCCACUCUAAGCCCUCCUGGCCGCCCCAGGCUGUUGGUCUGACUCUCCCUCCUCUGAUACUCAAUGGGUGACUGCAAUGCUGGGGCAAAGAGAGGAACAGAAGGAGAGUUACAACAGAGACAGGCCUUUUCCCUAAGAGCUCUGCCCAGACCACCCUCCCACUUUGCCCUCCUCCCAUGAACUGUCAGCCAGUAUAAAUUGCUGGGGAGAUGAAGAGAAGCUGGGGUCAGAGGGCAGGGAUUGGAGACUGGGCAGUGAGGGAGGGAUUCAGGAGGUCAAAGGGCUGAAGGAACAUGUGGGGGAGGGAGGGUGAGAGCUUCACCAUUGAGAAAGUUCCGCUGGCUUUCCAGGAUCUGAGCCACUUGCUUGAUCCAGGCCUGACUGACCGCAGGAUCUGCAGUCUGUAGGACAUAGCGCUGGAUCCCACCCUCUGGCCCUCUGGAGGUCAGUGCAAAGCGGCAAGGGUCACCUUGAAGGUUCCCCUCCAGUCCCAGGCAGCUCACCUGGAUUGGCAAAUAGGAGACAGCCCCCAAAUUCUUUAGGCCCUCUCUGGUUCCUGCCCCUUCCAACAAAUCCAAGAACCAGACAUUCUCUCAGAGGUCUCACCCUAUCCCAGGCAGACCCCUCCCUUGUGGCCUCCUCCCCACCUUGAUGCUGCUUUUGUACACAUAUCCAGCCUGCGUUCCACCUCGUACUCCUCCUCCCAGGGCCUCGCUGAAGAUGAUGAUUUGCUCAAAGAGGAAGACACGUCUCUCUCGACCCCGGGAGGAGAGCAGACCGCCAGCCUCAGGCUCUGUGACCCAGAAUGUGUCCUGGCCCAAGAGCUUCCCCUGAGCAGUCAGUUUGCCCUAGAACCAAAGGACGGUGGCUUUGAGAAAAAAGCGAGAAGAGAAAAGGGACACUCUCUGUUCCUCCCUCCUUCCCCUGACGCUCCCAACCAACCAUGGGGUCAGUCCCAGGGGAGGACAAUUCCCCAUUAGGACGUCCCAAGUACUCAGACUGGGGCAGAAGAGCAUUGGGCCUCCAGUUUCCUGUUCUAUCCCCAUACCUCAAACCCCCGAAGUCUCCCCAGGGUCAUCAUGUCAUUGCAGCGCUUGGGUACAAAGCACAUGACCUCCACAGCUUGCUGGGUCAC
rnacentral:lncRNA from 1 species